ACAUAAUCUGUCUGUGGGGUUUACAUUUUUUUUCUGGCGGAGUUAACUUUUGUGUGUUUGUUUUUAUGAAGAAAGGAUUUUGUGUAUUUAUUUCUGCAAAAAACCAAUUGAACAAAACCUACGUGGUUACUCUCAAACUUUUAAACCAUCCGGGAUUUGGAUAUAGUGAUUUGGAUACAGUGUUUAUUUGUGCUGCUGCCCAUGAGUCAGAGUUGGAUCUGAAAGGCCAGAAGACACCUGAACUUUUGACUCUACUCUUAGGCUCACACACAGCCGAGUGUGCAUUGUUCUAUCUUAAAACUGGAAAACAAGAAACUAUUCAUAUCUUGUUCUCAGAGCCUUUCCCCCUCUUAGAGACUGCACCACCCCCAAAUGCUUCCAAACACCCCAGGAAACCACAGCAUCAUUGUGAAGAGACUAAUCACCACACACCACUUGAUUUUCCUUCCUGGACGUCAUGGGCCAGGACCCUGUGGUUCCCACGUUGUUUCUGUCAGCAUCCCACAGGAGUUUAGCUCUUAUCCUGAGUCUGGGUGGGACAGCCUGUCUCAACUCCAGCCCUUAUGUAAGUGGCUGUGGGGAGAGCUGGCAAUAAACAACCCUUUUUCCUA
rnacentral:lncRNA from 1 species